rnacentral:lncRNA from 1 species
UAGUGUUCAUCAUGGCGAGCAGAUGGCACCAGGAGAAAUGGAGCCCCUGCCAGUGUGAGUCGUAGCAGUACAGGAGGGGAGACCUUGAAGGAGACAGCCUGAUUAAAUUGAAGCCGGCAGAUUGAAUUCCAGAGGCUUGGGAGCAGUUCUCCA